GGGCCGGUAGCUCAGCCUGGUUAGAGCGGCGGUCUUAUAAACCGCAGGUCGAGGGUUCGAAUCCCUCCCGGCCCA
rnacentral:tRNA from 1 species